rnacentral:tRNA from 1 species
GCGCUUGGUAUGUGGUGCGUAGACCGCGCAGCAGUUACCGCCUGCUCAGCGGUAGGCCGCAGGUUCGAUUGCUGCACGGGGCGCA